GCUGUAGUUCAGUGGUCAGAGCAUUUGCUUGGAAUGCAGAAGGUUCCCAGGUUCAAUCCCUGACAUCUCCA